rnacentral:rRNA from 1 species
GACGAACGCUGGCGGCGUGCUUAACACAUGCAAGUCGAACGGAAAGGCCCUGCUUUUGUUGGGUGCUCGAGUGGCGAACGGGUGAGUAACACGUGAGUAACCUGCCCUUGACUUUGGGAUAACUUCAGGAAACUGGGGCUAAUACCGGAUAGGAGCUCCUGCUGCAUGGUGGGGGUUGGAAAGUUUCGGCGGUUGGGGAUGGACUCGCGGCUUAUCAGCUUGUUGGUGGGGUAGUGGCUUACCAAGGCUUUGACGGGUAGCCGGCCUGAGAGGGUGACCGGCCACAUUGGGACUGAGAUACGGCCCAGACUCCUACGGGAGGCAGCAGUGGGGAAUAUUGCACAAUGGGCGGAAGCCUGAUGCAGCAACGCCGCGUGCGGGAUGACGGCCUUCGGGUUGUAAACCGCUUUCGCCUGUGACGAAGCGUGAGUGACGGUAAUGGGUAAAGAAGCACCGGCUAACUACGUG